CUGUGUUACAAGCCUUAUCUAGCCCUGAUCAGGCAUGCUUGGUCCGGUCCUUCUAAGGAAAACGAAAAAAUUUCUACUCGG